rnacentral:rRNA from 1 species
GAUGAACGCUGGCGGCGUGCUUAACACAUGCAAGUCGAACGAUUAACCCACCUUCGGGUGGUUAUAGAGUGGCGAACGGGUGAGUAACACGUGACCAACCUGCCUUUCACAUUGGGAUAACUCAGAGAAAUCUAAGCUAAUACCAAAUACUCCUUCUCCCUCGCAUGAGGGAAUCGGGAAAGCUCCGGCGGUGAAAGAUGGGGUCGCGGCCUAUUAGGUAGUUGGUGAGGUAACGGCCCACCAAGCCAAUGAUAGGUAGCCGGGUUGAGAGACUGAUCGGCCACAUUGGGACUGAGAUACGGCCCAGACUCCUACGGGAGGCAGCAGUGGGGAAUUUUGCGCAAUGGGGGAAACCCUGACGCAGCAACGCCGCGUGCGGGAUGACGGCCUUCGGGUUGUAAACCGCUUUCAGUAGGGAAGAAUUUUGACGGUACCUACAGAAGAAGCUCCGGCUAACUACGUGCCAGCCGCCGCAGUAAAAC